CGGCGAAAGCUGAGGAACUUCCGGGCUCCGCAGAGCACGAUGGCGGAUAACGUCCGCCCAGGGUGACCUGAGAGAUAGCGCAGCAGAGAACAGACCGCCCGCUUCGGCGAGCAAGGGUGAAACGGCGGUGCAAGAGACCACCGGACCCCCGGUAACGGCGGGUCGCAUGGCAAGCCUCAUCGGGAGCAAGGUCAAGCAGAAGGCGUUACGUGCUGCUCGCACAGCCUUCGGGUAGGCCGCUAGAGCCUGGCGGUGACGUCAGGUCGAGAUGGAUGGCCAUCCGUCUGCCCAGCAGACGACAGAACCCGGGGUAUGCGGGGUC
rnacentral:RNase_P_RNA from 1 species